AGAGUGAACGCUGGCGGCAGGCCUAAUACAUGCAAGUCGAACGGCAGCACAGCAGAGCUUGCUCUGUGGGUGGCGAGUGGCGGACGGGUGAGGAAUACAUGGGAAUCUGCCCAGUCGUGGGGGAUAACGUAUGGAAACGUACGCUAAUACCGCAUGCGCCCUUCGGGGGAAAGCCGGGACCUUCGGGCCUGGCGCGAUUGGAUGAGCCCAUGUCGGAUUAGCUAGUUGGCGGGUAAAGGCCCACAAGGCGACGAUCCGUAGCUGGUCUGGAGAGGAUGGAUCCAGCCACAACUGGAACUGAGACCACGGUCCAGACCUCGACGGGAGGCAGCAGUAGGGAUAGUGGGACAAGUGGGACGCGAAGCCGUGACGUUCCAGCCCGAAUCGGCCGUACGUGUAGGUACGAAGUAACGG
rnacentral:rRNA from 1 species